UGGGGAAUAUUGCACAAUGGGGGAAACCCUGAUGCAGCGACGCCGCGUGAGCGAUGAAGGCUUUCGAGUCGUAAAGCUCUGUCCUAUGGGAAGAUAAUGACGGUACCAUAGAAGAAAGCCCCGGCUAAUUACGUGCCAGCAGCCGCGGUAAUACGUAAGGGGCGAGCGUUGUCCGGAAUUAUUGGGCGUAAAGAGUGCGUAGGCGGCAAAUUAAGUCAGAUGUGAAAAAUAAGGGCUCAACCCAUAGAUUGCAUCUGAAACUGAUAUGCUUGAGUAAAGGAGAGGAAAGUGGAAUUCCUAGUGUAGCGGUGGAAUGCGUAGAUAUUAGGAGGAAUACCGGUGGCGAAGGCGACUUUCUGGACUUGAACUGACGCUGAGGCACGAAAGCGUGGGGAGCAAACAGG
rnacentral:rRNA from 1 species